rnacentral:lncRNA from 1 species
CAGAAAUGAACCUAUAACAACUUAACUGAGAGCUCACUCUGUGUUAUACCUCACUAAAGGCCUCCACUCUGCAAAUUGAGUGUGAGAACGAUUUGGAAACAUGAGUGGCAUAAGAGGAAAUAGAAUUACUUUGUGGGCUCUGUGGAAAUGUCCCAGCUCCCUGCACUGGAGAAAAGAGAAACUACCAUACUGGAAUAGCUUUGUAACACUUAUGAGCUUAUGUGUGAGGAGGGUAUAAUUUCAAAACUAUAAUAUGCAGUACUCUGGGAUAUAAAACUAAAGACCUGUGUUUUAAUUUAUAGGGAUUAAUAGACAUAAAAUUAUCUACAAUUAGCUUAUGCAAAUAUUAUAGGUAAAACAUAACUGAAGUUAUACAGUGUUAUUAUGUUAAGUUCUUGGGAUUCAAUUCAACACUUCAGAAUAAUUUUGAUGAAAGAAAUCAAUUGUAAAACCAGUUUUCUAAAAAAGCAAAUAUAUAUUUCCAUUUAAAAAUUG